CCCUUCUCAGAAUCACAUCUGGAGAGUUUUCAGUGUUCUUUCAGUCUCAACUACAGGAGGGAGAGUCAAGCAGAGGCCUACCCAUUCCAUUCUUAGCUUGGGCAGUGGCUAGCGAGUGGAAGGCAAUCUGCUACAAGU
rfam:Ornithorhynchus anatinus chromosome 18, whole genome shotgun sequence.